rnacentral:lncRNA from 1 species
CAAAUACAUAAAACUAGAAAUUAAAAAUUCAUAUAUCAUAGUUCAUCGUUUUCCUAGUACAAAAUGUAACGCCCCAAUUUCAUUAAAUUCCGGAGCAUUACGAAAAACUCAUUUUUCUUUAUUUUAUAUGUGGAACUAUAAAAAUAAAAUUCUUUAAUAAACAAAUAACUGCAACAUUUAUAAAUCUAAAUUUAAAACCAUGAAAAUCGUAUCUAAACAUAGCAUAAACUUCUAACUAAAUCAAAUAACACGUUUUGAACAAAAUUAAACUAAUUGGUAAAUUUAAAGACGGCAAACUUAUUUCUUUUUCUUUUUUUUUUCCUUUGAUCCACUUGGUAGCCCACAUCAACAAUUCGCCACCGGUCCAAUCGACCGGCACAAAUUUAAAAAAUUAAAGUAAGAGUGAGUAGUUAAAAAUACCCAGUAACAUACGUGCAUUUUCCAUAUACAAUUACAUAACAAUAAAAUCUACGCUUCAUACCGCUCUUCUCUUGUGGAGUAUAUCGGUGAUCAGACGACACACCGUCUUAGGUCCUCUUAAAUUCCCAUAGGAAUUUCAUAUCUCUUUCUCUAAAAUCCAAGGGUCCACUAGCAAUCCAUGUAUAUUUAAUUGUAUAUAAAAGCAUAUAGAAACAAAAAACAACUUGCACAUAUGUAUCUUAUCUCGUUUGAAAAAUAUGAAUGCACGUUCAAAAUCUUUUCUCCGCUUUGAAAAACACGUGAUUAAGAUAUUUGAUGUAUGAAAACUUUAUUUCCAAUACUCUUCUCUCUCUCUCUUUCCUUUCUCUUUC